AGUUAUGUCGGGCUGAGCAGGCCGCCGCAAGGUGGGCCGGUUCCCUUGGUUCCCGGUAUGCCAACCUGUUCAGUCCGGCACCCUG
rnacentral:antisense_RNA from 1 species